GACGAACGCUGGCGGCGUGCUUAACACAUGCAAGUCGAACGGAGUGGCGAACGGGUGAGUAACACGUGGGUGAUCUGCCUUUCACUUCGGGAUAAGCUUGGGAAACUGGGUCUAAUACCGGAUAGUGCAAGAUGAGCUCGCGGCCUAUCAGCUUGUUGGUGGGGUAAUGGCCUACCAAGGCGUCGACGGGUAGCCGGCCUGAGAGGGUGUACGGCCACAUUGCGACUGCGAGACGGCGCAGAGUGCUACGGUGGGCAGCAGUGGGGAAUCUUGCACAAUGGGCGGAAGUGUGAUGCAGCGACGCCGCGUUGGGGAUGAAGUCUCUCGGGUUGUAAACUCCUUUCGACAGGGACGCGGUACCUGUAUAAGAAGCACCGGCUAACUACGUGCCAGCAGCCGCGGUAAUAC
rnacentral:rRNA from 1 species